rnacentral:rRNA from 1 species
AAUAGAUACCCGGGUAGUCCAUGCCGUAAACGAUGUCUACUAGCCGUUGGGGCCCUUGAGGCUUUAGUGGCGCAGCUAACGCGAUAAGUAGACCGCCUGGGGAGUACGGUCGCAAGACUAAAACUCAAAUGAAUUGACGGGGGCCCGCACAAGCGGUGGAGCAUGUGGUUUAAUUCGAUGCAACGCGAAGAACCUUACCUGGCCUUGACAUACAGAGAACUUUCCAGAGAUAGAUUGGUGCCUUCGGGAACUCUGAUACAGGUGCUGCAUGGCUGUCGUCAGCUCGUGUCGUGAGAUGUUGGGUUAAGUCCCGCAACGAGCGCAACCCUUUUCCUUAUUUGCCAGCACUUCGGGUGGGAACUUUAAGGAUACUGCCAGUGACAAACUGGAGGAAGGCGGGGACGACGUCAAGUCAUCAUGGCCCUUACGGCCAGGGCUACACACGUGCUACAAUGGUCGGUACAAAGGGUUGCUACUGCGCGAGCAGAUGCUAAUCUCAAAAAGCCGAUCGUAGUCCGGAUCGCAGU